rnacentral:rRNA from 1 species
CGGACAGUGUCUGGUGGGUAGUUUGACUGGGGCGGUCUCCUCCUAAAGAGUAACGGAGGAGCACGAAGGUUGGCUAAUCCUGGUCGGACAUCAGGAGGUUAGUGCAAUGGCAUAAGCCAGCUUGACUGCGAGCGUGACGGCGCGAGCAGGUGCGAAAGCAGGUCAUAGUGAUCCGGUGGUUCUGAAUGGAAGGGCCAUCGCUCAACGGAUAAAAGGUACUCCGGGGAUAACAGGCUGAUACCGCCCAAGAGUUCAUAUCGACGGCGGUGUUUGGCACCUCGAUGUCGGCUCAUCACAUCCUGGGGCUGAAGUAGGUCCCAAGGGUAUGGCUGUUCGCCAUUUAAAGUGGUACGCGAGCUGGGUUUAGAACGUCGUGAGACAGUUCGGUCCCUAUCUGCCGUGGGCGCUGGAGAACUGAGGGGGGCUGCUCCUAGUACGAGAGGACCGGAGUGGACGCAUCACUGGUGUUCGGGUUGUCAUGCCAAUGGCACUGCCCGGUAGCUAAAUGCGGAAGAGAUAAGUGCUGAAAGCAUCUAAGCACGAAACUUGCCCCGAGAUGAGUUCUCCCUGAC